rnacentral:rRNA from 1 species
GAUGAACGCUGGCGGCGUGCCUAAUACAUGCAAGUCGAGCGAACAGACGAGGAGCUUGCUCCUCUGACGUUAGCGGCGGACGGGUGAGUAACACGUGGAUAACCUACCUAUAAGACUGGGAUAACUUCGGGAAACCGGAGCUAAUACCGGAUAAUAUAUCGAACCGCAUGGUUCAAUAGUGAAAGAUGGCUUUGCUGUCACUUAUAGAUGGAUCCGCGCCGCAUUAGCUAGUUGGUAAGGUAACGGCUUACCAAGGCAACGAUGCGUAGCCGACCUGAGAGGGUGAUCGGCCACACUGGAACUGAGACACGGUCCAGACUCCUACGGGAGGCAGCAGUAGGGAAUCUUCCGCAAUGGGCGAAAGCCUGACGGAGCAACGCCGCGUGAGUGAUGAAGGUCUUCGGAUCGUAAAACUCUGUUAUUAGGGAAGAACAAAUGUGUAAGUAACUAUGCACGUCUUGACGGUACCUAAUCAGAAAGCCACGGCUAACUACGUG